GACAUAGGUGGCGAACGUUAUCCGGAAUUAUUGGGCGUAAAGGAUGCGUAGAUGGUUCGAUAAGUUACUGGUGGGAAAUCGAGGCCCAACCUCGUGGAAGCUGGUAAUACUGUCGAGCUUGAGUGCAGGAGAGGUUAACGGAACUUUAUGUGGAGCGGUAAAAUGCGUAGAUAUAUGAAAGAACACCGAUAUAGCGAAGGCAGUUAACUAUUCUGCUACUGACAUUGAGGCAUGAAAGCGUGGGGAGCAAAACGG
rnacentral:rRNA from 1 species